AGUAUAUAUAUAAACAAAAUUCCUUGAGAAUUAAUCAUGAAUUGGGAUUGGAAACACUACAUGAAAUUGCAAUUGGCAUUGCUAAGGGGUUAGAAUACUUGCAUCGAGGUUGUAAUACAAGGAUAUUGCAUUUUGAUAUAAAGCCUCACAACAUUCUUUUAGAUGAAAACUUUUGUCCUAAAAUUUCAGAUUUUGGUCUGGCUAAAAUAUGUCCUGAAAGAGAGAGUACCAUAUCAAUGAUGGGUACAAGAGGGACUAUUGGAUAUAUUGCACCUGAAUUGUUUUAUAGAAAUUUUGGUGGAGUAUCUUGUAAAUCUGAUGUUUAUAGCUACGGGAUGCUAAUGCUAGAAAUGGUUGGAGGAAGAA
rnacentral:misc_RNA from 1 species